rnacentral:sRNA from 1 species
AGCGUUGGAGUAGGGGAGUGUGCUGGUACGCAUUGCCCUAUGGAGCUUUCAGGAGGGGUUGUGCAAGGAAACCUCAAACCGGUGUAGGCGUUUGCCGAAAGAAAAUGCU